AUUCAAAAGCCGCGUUUCAGCCGAGGGAGUUCAGUCCGUCGACGGCUCCCGUUCCUGGUCGGUGGUGUGGGGUCCUCCUCCAGUGUCAGGAUAUCUUGUUCUCUCUGGCAGUAUGGCAUUCUUCAGUUUGUCAGGUGAAGCAGGAGUGCUGUCUGUUGGUUUGUAGUUUCAACAGGUGGGUUACAGACUGGAGUUUGUGAGGUGGUCGUUCAGAAGUGUGGCAUUUCUGUGCGGGUUAAGAAGCCCACUCUGAAGUUUGCAGCUCUUCAAGUUUGGAGUGGAGUUCCUUCCUGUGCUGGCUGAGAUCUGUGCUUUCCUGGAUUUUAGUUGUGUGUUCUAUAUGAGCAGUAUUGGGCUUUUUUUUUUUUUUUAAUUUUUGUGGAUUCUUUGUUGUAUAGCAUGUUUUCCUAUGUUUACUGUGGUUAUGAGAUUUUGUAAUUUUGCUGUAUGUACAUAAUAUGUAAUGGAGCAUGUAAAGGAUUUUUUUGGAUAUAUACUGACUAUGUCUUGUUUUUAUGGUAUUUUCCUGGUAGUAAAAAUACAAAACUGUUAAAUAGGCUUGAAUGCGAUAUUUUGGAGUUGCAUUUUUACACAGAAACAUGUGUUAGAAAGGUAUUUGUUGACCUGAAUUUAUUGGGUUUCCUACAAUUGUAAGCUGUGCUUUGCAUUGUAUUUUCAAUCUCUGUCCUGCGUCUGUACAGCAUUUGUUGAUGUGGAAUGAAUAUUUGCAUGUUGUGUACUUGAAAAGCAUGUUUGGACCUCUGUUAGCUUUUUGUACAGUGUGCAUUGUUACAUUAUCUCAGAAUGUAUUUUGAACCUGUAUCUGUUGCGCCUUCUUGUUGAUGUAUUUUGGAGUCAACAGUUAAACACAGACAGUGUGGCCUCACUUAUGUUUUGAGAUUAUAUUCACAUUGAACUUCAUCAACAAAGCUACUGUACAUGACCUGGCACUAAAUAUUUCUGCAUUCUGGG
rnacentral:lncRNA from 7 species